rnacentral:lncRNA from 1 species
UAAAAAUUUCUUAAAACUCAAAUCCAAACCUUAAACAAAAUGGAAUUGCGGAGAGGAUUUCCUCUCUUAAUCCAACAGUACAAAGCUUUACUCUUUAAGAAUCUUCUCCUCUCAUGGCGAAAUAGGCGAUCCACAUUUCUCCAGCUUUUCUCAUCCCUCUUCUUCAUCUUCAUCAUCUUCUGCAUUCAAAAAGCAUUCGACUCGAGAUACUCCUCGUCUUCUUCUUUCAAAAGUAUCAAUGAUCCUGAACCGUUGAUCUUUCCCGCAAUCCCACCUUGUGAGGAAAAAUUCUACUCUAAAUUGCCAUGCUUUGAUUUUGUUUGGAGUGGGAAUGACAGUGCUAGAAUUGGGGAGAUUGUUAGAAGGAUUCGAGAGAAUAAUCCCGGCCGGAGUAUUCCUUCUGACAAGGUUUAAUUUUUCCCUAUUUUUUAAUUUUGUUUUCUUGUUUUGUAAGUAAAAUGCAGUUUUCUGAAGAAGUUUUCACUUAAUUUUGAUUACAGCAAAUUGAAUUAAAAAAGGAUUGGAUGAGAGUUAGAAGGGUGUGCCCUAAUGUGUGUUAUCUUUGUUUUGAUGCAAAAUCUCUUAGGCUCUAUUUGAUUGCAACAUUUUUCAUGGAAAAUGUCACAUCCAACGAAAAUAAUUUCCACUUUGACUGUUUGAUUCGUAUGUGGAAAUGGAAUUUAAAUUCUUAUGUACAACCAUUUAAAGCACGUUUUUGGCCAAUUCCAUGAAAAACGAAUUCUUAUGGGUAUGGUGAUAAUUUGUUUUCCAACUUAGAUGGAAUUCCUUUUCCUUUUCCUCCUUCGCAAUCAAACGGGGCCUUAUGCAUAUUUGUUAGGGAGGAUUACAUAGCACAUGAUAAGGGCAAAAAAGAAAAAAAAAGUACAAUCUUGUUCAUUAUAUUGUUCAGUUUGCAUGCAAACGCAUUGACUUAUAUAUUUUGUCUGCAGUACAUGAAGCAGAAAAUGUAAAUAUAGCUUUACUGUUGGAAUUAAAUUCCUUGUUGAUUUUAAUCUAUUGAAUUUUGAAGUCAACGGGUAGAAACCAUUAAAAAUAGUAAAUGAAGUAAUCAAAAAUCAGAAUCUGGUUAGGGUAAUGUUUUAUAAAUUAUAGAAUAUUAUAUUAGUAUUUAAAAUGAAUUUGUUGAUUCCAAAAUUUCUGUAGUUCACAGAGAAACUUGAUUAGUUCCAUUUCAUAAACUCAUGUUUUCUACUCAAAAUUAAAUUGCUUAAUUAAGUUGUUUAGGCUGAUUCACCACUAUGUACAGUCACUUGGUAAUUACCUUCUUAUGUUUUUGUUAUAUAUUUCUUUCCCCGGUCUGCAACAUUAUUGAAGUUCCACUUAAGGCUAGUUACAGUUUCCAGUUUGGAUGUAUAAAGGUAAAAUGAUGCAAUAUCCUUUCUUUGAUUAUUAUGAUGAAUCAAUCAUAAUGGCAGAAAAUAACGAACUGGGGAUAAGAAAUAUAAUAUGGGACUCAGACUUUUCUGAAGAUAUUUGGAAUUCUAUGUGAUUACAAAUUUGGUUGUUUACUUUUUUGAUCGGAGCUAAAUCUGUAAUUUUCGACAAUGCCUUUUUUAGGAAUAAAGUUAGUAGCAUUUUAUCUAAGUAAAAACUUGUAAUAUAAAAAAACUGUAUUGCUGAAAGAAUGGGAAAUGAUCAUGCCUUGAGCAGGUUCAGUCAUUCAAAACGCGAAAUGAAGUUGAUGAUUGGCUUGCCAACCAUUCUAUGCAUUGUCCUGGAGCUCUGCAUUUAGUGGACAGAAACGCUACCGUAAUUAGCUAUGGAUUGCAGACUAAUUCUACUCCACUUGCUAAGCGAGGAAAUUUUGAAGAUCCUACUUUUAAAUUUCAAAUUCCACUUCAACUUGCUGCAGAACGUGAAAUCGCAAGAUUUCUGAUUGGAGGUAUGACAUCCGAAAUUCUUCUUUUAGAGCAUGUUUUGCAUCACUUAUAAAAAAAAAUGAAGUUAAUUUUUGUCUUCAAACAUGUUCGGAUAAUUUAUAUUUUUUGUACAUUUAAGUAAAAAGUUACUUUUUUGAAAGCAACUCUUACCUUGUCCAUAUUUGGAAAACAUUGUAAUUUUCUUAUAUUUUAAUGUUCAAACUCAAACAUUAAUUUUAAUCACACAUUUUGGAGGACGUACAACUACUACCCACUUAUCCCACCCCUCAUUUUUGUCACAUUAUAAUUUCAGAUAGCUAUAAUUUUAUAUUAGAUAAAUUAAUUUCUUCAGGUUUCAACAAUAAAAGUAUUUAUUUUAAAACUUACUUAUUAACUUAUAAGUGAACUUUUUAAGCUUAGCGCAACAUGCUCUGAUCUGAUGGAUCAUAUAAAGCAUGAUGAGAGUUUCCUUACAAUGCACCCUCUUUUUUGUGGCUGCAUACACUUCAGAUGCAAGCUUUAGUUGGGUUGUCAGUCUUAAGGAAUUUGCCCAUCCUGCUAUUGAAAUCUUUUCGGCUGUGCAAAGAGCAGGACCGACCUUUUUCCUGGCAAUUGCUAUGUUUGCUUUUGUCCUUCAAAUUUCUGCUUUGACCACGGAGAAAGAAUUAAAACUUCGCCAGGUAUAGAAUAAUCUCCAUUUCAAAAUGAAGAUAAGUACUCCUAUGGUUCCAGCAUAUUGCAAAAUCCUGAAUAAUUAUUCACUUACAUGUUUGAUAACAGGCAAUGACAAUGAUGGGUCUUUAUGAUACUGCCUAUUGGUUAUCGUGGCUCACUUGGGAGGGAAUCCUCACAUUGCUUUCCUCACUUUUCACAGUUUUAUUUGGAAUGAUGUUCCAGUUUGACUUUUUCUUGCACAACAGUUUUGCUGUUGUGUUCUUCUUGUUCUUUCUCUUUCAAUUGAGUAUGGUAGGUUUCCUUACUCCAGUAUGAAACGUACGUCAUAUUCAGUUAUUGUCAUUAUAACGAGGUUUGUUUCUUGCUUCUGUUAUCAGACUGCAUUUGCCUUUAUGCUGUCUACGUUUAUUAGCAAGUCUGAUUCGUCCAGCACGUUAGGUUUCUUUUGCUUUAUUAUUGGUUCCAUGACUCAGGCAAGUUUCUCUUUUCAAAAAAUGUUUAAUUACAAAGUACUGAAUGCCACUCAUAAUAACAGAUCUCUCUUCAUACUAUUCCAGAUCGUGACAGCAUUUGGAUUUCCUUACAGCGAUGACUUCUCGAACACGUACCGAAUUGUGUGGUCACUUUUUCCUCCAAAUCUUUUUGCUAAAGGUCUCGAAUUGCUCUCUGAUGCAACUGCAACUCCUCAAGAUCCCGGUGUCAGCUGGAAUGGGAGGACAAAAUGUUCACCAAAUGAUACUGAUUGCAUCAUAACAAUUGUACGUCAAACCAUCAAGCUUCUAUUCUAUUUCCCUUUUAUGCAUUACGAGUUAACUAGUCUUAGAAAUUAACUCAAAGCAUGUCUGAUACACAUUUCUCAACAAGAUUGGAUAGUGAACCUUUUCUCUUUUAAUACUGCUGAGUACCAUCUAAUCCAACUUAUUUAAUAUGGCAUCUUUGUCUUAAAAUUUGUUCGAUGAUUAUCUUAAGUAUUCAACUGCCUCUUACUAAAUUGCUUCCAAAACUUUUUAUGUUGAUUGACAGAACAAGAUUUACAUAUGGCUUUUAGCUGUAUCCUUUCUCUGGUUUGUUUUGGCCAUCUACUUUGACAAUAUUUUUCCAAAUACAUCUGGGGUGAGAAAGUCGGUGUUAUAUUUUCUGAGUCCUGGGUACUGGACCGGAAAUGGGGGAAACAAGGUGGAAGGUAUUGAAAUCCGAUACAAUAAUUUUCUGUCAUUUCAUCCUGUUAUUUGGUUGAUACUGCCAACUGCUAAUAUCUUAGGCAUGCCCUUUUUCCUUUGAGAAGGAAGCAUAUGUAGUUGCUUUAGUUCAGUACCACUCGUGGACAGCACCAUUCCAGAGGACGAGGAUGUACUUGAAGAGGAAAACAUAGUGAAACAGCAAGCUUCAGACGGUAGUGUAGAUUCACGAAUUGCAGUCCAAAUACGUGGUCUCGUGAAAACUUACGCUGGAGCAACAAAGAUCGGGUGCUGCAAAUGUAAGAGGACCUCUCCUUACCAUGCUCUCAAGGUAAAAUAAACCUUGUGGAAUAUGGUACCGUAAGAGUAGUUUUGGGGAACUGAAUCUCCGAGUUAAUAUAGAUCAAUAGUGCAUAUAACAUAAGUGUGAAGGCUCCUUUCUAUCAUAAAAUUUCUUUAAAAAGGCAACCAGUUGCUUUAUUUGAGAUCUGUGUACGGAACAGAAUUCACACACAAAAUUGUGUGUUUGUGUGUCUAUUUAAGUACGCAAGCCCUUCUUUGACAAGCAAUUUGAUUUUAUUACUAAUUUUUUGAAAUUACAAUUGGCAUGUGAAAUUGUAUUCUGAAGCAUAUAAUGGAUAUAAAACCUGCAGGGAUUAUGGGUGAACUUUUCCACGGAUCAGUUAUUUUGUCUUCUUGGACCCAAUGGAGCAGGAAAAACUACUGCUAUUAAUUGUUUGACAGGGAUUACACCAGUAACUAGUGGAGAUGGUAAGAUCUGUUGUUUUGGUUAUCAAGUUUCCUUGCAAUUAUUUGGAUGACGUCACGAAGAAUCUGGAGUAUGAUUUUUUUUUUUUUUUUUAACAGCAUUAAUUUAUGGAUAUUCCAUCCGAAGCUCCACUGGUAUGUCAAACAUUCGCAGGAUGAUAGGGGUUUGUCCUCAGGUGACUCCCAACCCCCCAUCCCGUCUUUGUAUGUUAUAACUAUACUUUAGUUUUCACUUUUUAAUGGUCAGAUGUAGAUGUAGAUUCUUUGUCAGAAAGUGUGCAAAAUGAAGGGAAGGGGAGAUUUGAAAAUCCUUUAUGCACUAUCGAAUAAUUUGGAUCGAUUAACAGAGAUGAACUCCUUUUUGGUGACAGUUUGAUAUUCUUUGGGAUGCAUUGUCUGGUCAAGAGCACCUACACUUGUUUGCCAGUAUCAAAGGUCUGACGCCUGCUUCCAUUGUGUCGGUACGUUCUGUACAAACCUAAGUGAUCUUUACAAAAUAAACAACUUUUUACUUGUGAAAAGUCUGAGAUAUGGGUUUUUUUGUCAAAAUAAUAGGUUGUGCAGAAAUUAAUAGCAGAAGUAAAACUUACUGAGGCAGCCAAGAUGAGAGCUGGUAGCUAUAGUGGCGGAAUGAGACGUCGUCUUAGUGUUGCUAUUGCCCUUAUUGGUGAACCAAAGUUGGUCAUUUUGGAUGAACCGGUUGGUAGACAGAAUAUUUCUCAUUCUUCUUUUAUAAUUUUUAAUUGGUUCUCUGCUUGCAAUUUUAUAUGAGUUUUUACUUUGAACCUGUAGACCACUGGGAUGGAUCCAAUAACUAGAAGACACGUGUGGGAUGUAAUUGAAGAGGCUAAAAAAGGGCGUGCCAUUAUUCUAACUACUCAUUCGAUGGAAGAAGCUGACAUCUUAAGUGACAGGAUAGGAAUUAUGGCAAAGGGUAGGCUUCGCUGCAUUGGAACUUCAAUAAGGUUGAAGUCGCGGUUUGGAACUGGUUUCAUUGCUACUAUAAGCUUUUCCGGGGAUGUUAAUGGUACCCCAAACAGAGGGGAUGCGUUUGAUACCACUCAACAUGAAGCUGUUAAACAGUUCUUUAAAUCAGUAAGUCAAAUAUUAGCUAGUUAUAAUAUUCCCGGAAGCAUAUAAACUGUUUCUUACAUGUAAUUUUAUUUGCAGUAUUUGAAUGUUAUGCCUAAGGAGGAAAGCAAGUCUUUCCUGACUUUUGUUAUUCCUCAUGAAAAAGAGAAGCUAUUGACGGUACAAAACCCUCACUUUGUCAACUGUUCCUUAUUUCAAUCGUUAAUGUAUGAUUUUAAUGAAAAAUUCAAAGGUUAAUAAUGCAAAAAGGGUUCAAAAAUAAAAAGAGACACAAUUAAAAUGGGUUUUAAAAAUUUAUCGUACUAACGUACUUAUUUGGAUAAAAAUUCUAUCAGAAAUUUUUUGAGGAGCUCCAAGAGAAAGUGAAAGAAUACGGCAUAGCAGACAUCCAACUUGGUCUUACAACUUUGGAAGAAGUUUUUCUGAAUAUAGUAAAACAGGCUGAAUUGGAAAGUGCUGCGUCUGAGGGAAGCUUUGCAACUAUGACUCUAAACUCAGGAAUUUCAGUUCAGGUAAAGCAUAUUUGCAUUACUCAGUUCAUACUAGUGUAAGUGUGUCCAGCUAAGCCUAAAAAAUACUUAAUAAAUAAAUAAUUUUCUUGUUGGUACAAUUUUAAUUUUUUUUUGCCGGAAAAUCCACUUGAACUUGGGCGAGUUUUAGGUUGACUCAACUAAGCCAAGUGGUUGCCCUCCUGCCCAGAUAUUGAUAGAAAGGAUUAUUACAUAGAGGGGGACGUGGACCUUACCUCCUAGUUGAACAAAUGAGGAGUUUAGAUCAGCUAAAUUACUAAAUUCAACAACGAAUUAAGUGAGCAGACUAACAAACCCUUUGUGUCCUUGGCGAUUAUUUACACUCUUAAAGUUGGAAGCCCCUUAUAUCUGGGCGCAAAAUUCUUUUGAUUUCACCAGUUAGCUCUUGAGGGUAUAGUAGCUUGAACUGCCUUUCUUUAUACUCAGUAUGAGCCACCAAUCAGUGACCCCAUUACUUUCUCUCCAAAAGGCAACAGCAUCGCUUUGAAACUAUCAUUCUUCCGCUAAUAUUGAAUUUCCUCCAACUGGUAUUGUACUCUGCACGGCCAUGUAGAUUGUUUGCAAAUUAAUUUAAUAGAGGCCUUGGAAAGAACCUCCAUACUUCCUUAGCAACAAUGCCAUAUAAUAGCACAUGUUCAACUAAUUCAUAUUUUGCCACCGGAACUUACAAGUUCUGCUAAUUUUCAUUAUAAUUUGCACCUCUUCUGUCUAAUGUCAAUAAGUCGUGCCAUGUUUUCCAUGUGAAAAAUGAGACCUUUAAAGUGAUAAAUUUCUUCCAUAUUUAUUUGUCCAAGGAUUUGAUAUUUAUCCUUUGCCCAAGUACUUCCAACAUAGAGCACUAGAGGCUCCAUUGCUAAUUAGUUUGCAGUAGAUUAUGUCAUGGCCUUUAAUAUAAGGAGGAAUUCUUAUUAUAUCUUCGAUCAUACAAUUAAGCUGUAAAGUAUUAAGCGUACCUACAUCCAAAGCUGCUCUCUUUCAUAAGUUGAACAGUUAUGAGUUAGUGCUCCGAUUGUCAGACCAAAAGGAAAUAUUUCCCAGCCUCAGUUUCCAAAAUACGUGGUUCUGAUGCUUCCCUAACGGCUAGAAGUCUCUUCCAAACAGACAAGUCUUUCCCUUAGUUUGAUCUUGACAAGGAUGAUAAUUUUGACAAUACCUAGAUUUAGUAUCCCGAACGCAGUUUGUGCCCUAAAUUUCCACCAGAGCUUCCAUGAAAGAAGUAAGUUAAUUAUUUUGAAAGUAAAUUUUAUCUUAAUGCGCAGGUACCUGUAGGUGCGAGGUUUGUUGGGGUUCCAGGAACUGAAUCUACAGAAAAUCCAAGAGGAAUUAUGGUAGAGGUAUAUUGGGAACAAGAUGAUGCCGGAGCACUCUGCAUUUCCGGUCACUCAGAUGAGACACCAAUCCCUCCUCAUGUACAACUAAGAGCAACAUCUGCUCCCACAUCUGGCAUAAGUAUUUUGGGCCGAAGACAGCAAAUUCAUGGAAUUGUAAUUGACCCUGACCAAAUCACCAAUUCAAAUAUGUGAUCUUUGUUGAAAUGUUAUCUAGUAGGAUAUUUAGUGUACACAAUAAUUAGAAAUGGUGUUGAGAAUCAAUUUUCUUUUUUUUUUUCCCCUGUAUCUUUGCAUAAACAUAGGAUGUAUCAUUCCUUUUCCAGCCAACAUUAUAUGCUUGUAAUAUUUAAAAAGUUAUAUACUAGGGCAAUAUUCAGAAAUAAAUAGAAGUUUGAAAUUCAAUGCAUUGUUCACUAUUGUCCAAUCAUGUAGAUUGGACAUGCACUUAGUACUUUUUUUUGAGAAUUCCCAAGAAA